GACGAACGCUGGCGGCGUGCUUAACACAUGCAAGUCGAACGGAGUGGCGAACGGGUGAGUAACACGUGGGUGACCUGCCCGGCACUUCGGGAUAAGCCGGGGAAAAUGGGUCUAAUACCGGAUAGUGUGGGAUGGGCCCGCGGCCUAUCAGCUUGUUGGUGGGGUAAGGGCUGACCAAGGGGGCGACGGGUAGCCGGCCUGGGAGGGUGGACGGCCACAUUGCGACUGGGGCACGGCCCAGACUCCUACGGGAGGCAGCAGUGGGGAAUAUUGCACAAUGGUCGGACGGCUGAUGCAGCGACGCCGGGUGGGGGAUGACGGCCUUCGGGUUGUAAACUCCUUUCACCAUCGACGCGGUAGAUGGAGAAGAAGCACCGGCUAACUACGUGCCAGCAGCCGCGGUAAUUC
rnacentral:rRNA from 1 species